rnacentral:rRNA from 1 species
UACGUAGGGUGCAAGCGUUGUCCGGAAUUAUUGGGCGUAAAGAGCGUGUAGGCGGCCCGAUUAGUCCGCUGUGAAAGUCCAGGGCUCAACCCUGGAAUGCCGGUGGAUACUGUCGGGCUAGAGUCCGGAAGGGGCGAGUGGAAUUCCUGGUGUAGCGGUGGAAUGCGCAGAUAUCAGGAGGAACACCGGUGGCGAAGGCGGGAUCCUGGGCCAGUACUGACGCUGAGGAGCGAAAGCGUGGGGAGCAAACAGG